rnacentral:lncRNA from 1 species
UUGCAAGAUUAUAGAAGUCAUUUUAUACGUGAAUAUAUCUCUAGAAGUAUAUUAUAUAACAUGAAUGUCCACUAAAACAUUUUAAUGAAUAUUUUGGUGAUCAGAAUAGUGAAGUGGUAUAUUCUGGGUGUUUAUAUCUAGUUUCAUACCUUCUCCAGACUCUCUUCAAGGAAGCCUGUUCUUUUCAGAAGCAUCGUUUGCAUGGACUCUUUAAUAGAUGAGAAUGAUGAUUUUUUUUUUAAUAUGGUACUAGCCUGCAGUUUAGGCUGGGAUCAGCUAUACCCACGUAGUGCAUCUGGCUCACUCGUGUUUGCAGCUGAUGACUUUACUCACAUCUGGCUCUCAGCAGAGGCUGAAGCACUGUCAACUUCUUGUGGUCUCAGGGUUUCCCAAAGUAGCAAAAAAAGGCAAGUUCCAGUAUGCAAGUACUUUUCAUUUUUCCAGUUGUGUCACUGUUAUUGUUGCUUUGUCCAAAACAAGUCAUGGGAAUAUGUCCAGAGUCAGUAUGAAAGAGUAUGGAUUCAGGAAGGGCAAUUAUUGUGGUCAUUUUUACAAAUUUUCUACCAUAAAUGGAUCAAAAGCUUUGUAUGAAUACUGUUAGCUUUAAUGCUUCCUUGUUAGGUUUUCUUCUCUAGCAGUUUCUCAGUUCGAA